rnacentral:rRNA from 1 species
UGGGGAAUUUUGGACAAUGGGCGAAAGCCUGACCCAGCAACGCCGCGUGAAGGAUGAAGUAUUUCGGUAUGUAAACUUCGAAAGAAUAGGAAGAAUAAAUGACGGUACUAUUUAUAAGGUCCGGCUAACUACGUGCCAGCAGCCGCGGUAAUACGUAGGGACCAAGCGUUGUUCGGAUUUACUGGGCGUAAAGGGCGCGUAGGCGGCUUGACAAGUCACUUGUGAAAUCUCUGGGCUUAACCCAGAACGGCCAAGUGAAACUGUCAUGCUAGAGUGCAGAAGGGGCAAUCGGAAUUCUUGGUGUAGCGGUGAAAUGCGUAGAUAUCAAGAGGAACACCUGAGGUGAAGACGGGUUGCUGGGCUGACACUGACGCUGAGGCGCGAAAGCCAGGGGAGCAAACGGGAUUAGAUACCCAUGUAGUCCCUGAGCGGGCUGGCAAGGCGCAU